rnacentral:lncRNA from 1 species
GGGGUGUUGAGAGGCGUGCGUGCGUGCGCGCCGCACCGUGCCGUGCGUGCUCGAGGCAGAGAAAGGAGGGGUGGAUCAGUGGAGUGGUGCUGGGUAUUUAAAUCUAGGGUUUGGUCGGGGUUUUGCUCGGGAGCAAGCCCGCCCGGGCAGCAGCGAGACUUCUUCUGGGGGCAAGGCAAGGCCCUCGUCCGAACCCGAGGCCCAG